UCGACCCCGCCCACGGCCUAAUACUUGGCCUCAGUCUCGACGCCGGGACUCCACCCUUAGCCCCACCCCUGGCCUGCCUUCCCCUCGAUUUCCUCCAAUCACGAUCUUGGCCCUACCCCCUGGAUCCCGCCUCCUUCCCCCAUCAGCACUCUCUCCUGAUAGCUUACUGCCUAGCCUUGGAGUCCAUGACAGUUCCUCUUAUGGCAUCUUUGAACUCGCUACUCUGUUGCAGAAUUGAAGAGGCUAGAGAGACCACAGGAUGUGUGUAAUUUGAGAUGAAGAAGAUAAUUCAGAAGAGAGCUUCCAAGUCAGAACAGAAGAGAGUUCAGAGUCUGAGGAUGAAGCUCAUAGCAUCGGCUGUGACAUCCCCAUGGGUGACAUGAAGCUUCCAACUCAGAAGGUGGAAAAGGCGAGAUUGAAGUGUUGGACAGUCCAAUGUCAAAAAUCAAACAGCAGUGAAAUAAAUGGUCUAAAAAGAAAUAGGUGAUUCAUACCUUGUCGUUCUCUAAAAAAAAAGUCCAUUUCUGGAUGCUGUACAUUUCUGGUAUGUUAGGUGCUCUUCUUUGUUAAAUGAAUAAGUAGACAGUUGAACAGUAAAGAACAAUGUGAGCAAAGAACAAUGCAUGAAUCAGGCAACACUCAGCAUGGAAGGGAGUUCUAAGCUGUGCUGUGUAGCUGGGACAGCAUGAUUUUAUAUCUAACAGAGAACUCAAGUGCAGAAAUAGCAUGAUGAGUCCAGCAAGGUCUUCACCUUGGGCGUACACGGUCUGGUCUGGGGAGGGGCUGGGACUGGCCAAGGCUCAGCUGUGUGUGGC
rnacentral:lncRNA from 1 species